rnacentral:rRNA from 1 species
AGCGAACGUUAGCGGCGGGCCUAACACAUGCAAGUCGAGCGAGAAAGGGGGUUCGCCCCCGAGUACAGCGGCGGACGGGUGAGUAACACGUAGGUAAUUUUCCCUUGAGCGGGGGACGAACGUUCCGAAAGGACGCUAAUACCGCAUAAGUUCUUGGGUGCUUCGGCACUGGAGAGGAAAGCUAGGCCGCAAGGUCUGGCACUCGAGGAGAAGCCUGCGUCGCAUCAGCUAGUUGGUGGGGUAAUGGCCUACCAAGGCAAAGACGCGUAGCUGGUCUGAGAGGAUGAUCAGCCACACUGGGACUGAGACACGGCCCAGACUCCUACGGGAGGCAGCAGUGGGGAAUAUUGGGCAAUGGGCGAAAGCCUGAUCCAGCAAUGCCGCGUGAGUGAUGAAGGCCUUAGGGUGUAAAGCUCUUUUACCCGGGAUGAUAAUGACAGUACCGGGAGAAUAAGCCCCGGCUAACUCCGUGCCAGCAGCCGCGGUAAU